rnacentral:rRNA from 1 species
UGGGGAAUAUUGCGCAAUGGGGGAAACCCUGACGCAGCAACGCCGCGUGAGCGAUGAAGGCCUUCGGGUCGUAAAGCUCUGUCUUUAGGGACGAUAAUGACGGUACCUAAGGAGGAAGCCACGGCUAACUACGUGCCAGCAGCCGCGGUAAUACGUAGGUGGCGAGCGUUGUCCGGAAUUACUGGGCGUAAAGGAUGCGUAGGCGGAAGAUUAAGUCAGAUGUGAAAUCCCCGAGCUUAACUUGGGAAUGGCAUUUGAAACUGAUUUUCUAGAGUGCAGGAGAGGAAAGCGGAAUUCCUAGUGUAGCGGUGAAAUGCGUAGAUAUUAGGAAGAACACCAGUGGCGAAGGCGGCUUUCUGGACUGUAACUGACGCUGAGGCAUGAAAGCGUGGGGAGCAAACAGG